UGGGGAAUAUUGCACAAUGGGCGCAAGCCUGAUGCAGCCAUGCCGCCUGUAUGAAGAAGGCCUUCGGGUUGUAAAGUACUUUCAGUCGGGAGGAAGGUGUCAAGGUUAAUAACCUUGGCAAUUGACGUUACCGACAGAAGAAGCACCGGCUAACUCCGUGCCAGCAGCCGCGGUAAUACGGAGGGUGCAAGCGUUAAUCGGAAUUACUGGGCGUAAAGCGCACGCAGGCGGUUGAUUGAGUCAGAUGUGAAAUCCCCGGGCUUAACCCGGGAAUUGCAUCUGAUACUGGUCAGCUAGAGUCUUGUAGAGGGGGGUAGAAUUCCAUGUGUAGCGGUGAAAUGCGUAGAGAUGUGGAGGAAUACCGGUGGCGAAGGCGGCCCCCUGGACAAAGACUGACGCUCAGGUGCGAAAGCGUGGGGAGCAAACAGG
rnacentral:rRNA from 1 species